GAUGAACGCUGGCGGCGUGCCUAAUACAUGCAAGUCGAACGCUGGAACUCUAGCUUGCUAGCUUGAAGGAGUGGCGAACGGGUGAGUAAUACAUAAGCAACCUACCCACGAAGACUGGGAUAAUCUCUGGAAACGGGGACUAAUACCGGAUAGGUAAUCGGAAGGCAUCUUCUGAUUAUUAAAGGUUAAAAACACUGGUGGAUGGGGUUAUGGCGCAUUAGUUAGUUGGUGAGGUAACGGCCCACCAAGACGACGAUGCGUAGCCGGCCUGAGAGGGUGAACGGCCACAUUUGGGCCGCGACCCGGACCCCAAUGCUACGGGGGGGAGGAGUAGGGAAUUUUAGGCAAGGGGGGAAACCCUGACCGAGCAACGCCGCGUGAGUGAUGACGGCCUUCGGGUUGUAAAGCUCUGUUGUAAGGGAAGAACGGUAGAUAGAGAAUAUCUAAAUGACGGUACCUUACCAGAAAGCCACGGCUAACUACGUG
rnacentral:rRNA from 1 species